UGGGCAUGAGCUUCUUAUCCGGGCAC
rnacentral:piRNA from 1 species